rnacentral:rRNA from 1 species
UGUCUACUAAUUAUAGACUAGUAUGAAAGGAUGAAUGAGGGCCGAACUGUCUCUUGUAGUCAAUUAAUAAAACUGAUCCUUCAGUAAAAAAGCUGAAAUACCACUAUAAGACGAGAAGACCCCGCGAANNUUCAGGGGGGGGGCCACAACCCCUUGGCCCCGCACCUUCGGUUGGGGCAACCUCGGAAACAAACCAAACUCCCGAAACCAAGCCAAAGCCACAAAGGCCAACGCGCCAUCAUACGACCCAGCAGCAGCUGACCACUGAAACAAGUUACUCCGGGGGUAACAGCGCUAUCCUCUUUUAGAGCCCAUAUCAAAAAGAGGGCUUACGACCUCGAUGUUGGAUCAGGACACCCCAAUGGCGCACGCUAUCAAAGGUUCGUUCGUUCAACAGUUAACAGU